rnacentral:rRNA from 1 species
ACCUGGUGAACUGAAAUAUCUAAGUAACCAGAGGAAAAGAAAUCAACCGAGAUUCCGUAAGUAGCGACGAGCGAACGCGGACUAGCCCUUAAGCUGAUUUGGUUCUAGGAAAACACUCUGGAAAGAGUGGCCAUAGAAGGUGAUAGCCCUGUAUCUGAAAGGGCCAUUUCAGUGAAGACGAGUAGGGCGGGGCACGUGAAACCCUGUCUGAACAUGGGGGGACCAUCCUCCAAGGCUAAAUACUACUGACCGACCGAUAGUGAACCAGUACCGUGAGGGAAAGGCGAAAAGAACCCCGGAGAGGGGAGUGAAAUAGAACCUGAAACCGUGUGCGUACAAGCAGUAGGAGCUCCGCAAGGAGUGACUGCGUACCUUUUGUAUAAUGGGUCAGCGACUUACUGUUCGUGGCAAGCUUAACCGUAUAGGGGAGGCGAAGGGAAACCGAGUCUGAUAAGGGCGCAUAGUCGCGGGCAGUAGACCCGAAACCGGGUGAUCUAGUCAUGCCCAGGGUGAAGGUGCGGUAACACGCACUGGAGGCCCGAACCCACUCCCGUUGCAAAGGUAGGGGAUGAGGUGUGAUUAGGAGUGAAAAGCUAAUCGAACCCGGAGAUAGCUGGUUCUCCUCGAAAGCUAUUUAGGUAGCGCCUCAUAUGUAUCCUCUCGGGG